AUUUUAUCGCGCCCGCCUCCCGCAAAAAUAUCUCCCAAAUUCCCCAACGCCCCACGACUUGGCAACCCUAAUCAGCUCCCCCACCAAUUCUCGAUUCCCCGUCGCCGAGCUCCCCCGUCCCAACCCUAGCGCCAGAUCCGCCCGCUCGCCCGCGCAGCCAUGGCGGAGUCCCUCGACAUGUCCCUCGACGACAUCAUCAAGAGCAACAAGAAGGGCAACUCCUCGUCCGGCGGGGGUGGCCGCCGCCGCGAGGGCCGCCGCGGAUCUGCCGCUGCCGGCAGCGGCGCGGCAGCGGCCGCCGCCGGAGGCGUCGGCCCCAACAGGCGCGCCUUCAAGAGGUCGGGGAACAGGGCGGCGCCCUACCAGCCGCCGAAGGCCCCGGAAUCGGCGUGGCAGCACGACAUGUACUCGGACGCCUCUGCCAGAGGCGGCGGCGGCGGGAGGGUCUCGGCUAUCGAGACCGGCACCAAGCUCCUCAUCACCAAUUUGGACUUCGGCGUCUCAACCGAGGACCUCAAGGAGCUUUUCUCCGAGCUGGGUGAUGUGAAGCGAUGCUUGAUUCACUACGACCGAAGUGGGAGGUCUAAGGGAACAGCUGAGGUUAUAUUUGCAAGGCGUGGUGAUGCUGUUGCAGCGCUGAGGAAAUACAACAAUGUCCAACUUGAUGGCAAGCCUAUGAAAAUAGAGAUACUUGGGACCAACACUCCUACUGCUCCAGCUGCACUACCAACCAAUAAUGGAACCUAUGCUAGGAAUGUUGCUAAGAGUGCACCAAGGGGUGUCUCAGCUAGUUUGCCACAGAACAGAUCCCGUGCAAGGGGUGGGAGGGGUCGUCGUGGUGGUGGCGGAGGCAGUGGAUCUGGCGGUCGUCGUGGGAAAGAGCGUAGUCAGCCAAGGUCUGCUGAAGAACUUGAUGCUGAGUUGGAGAAGUACCAUGCACAGGGUACGACGCCGAUGCAGACCGCCGAAUAAAUCAACAUCUUUGCAGCGUUGAUAUUUCAACAUGAAAUUUGAAGGGCGCCCCUUUGUUCCCGCUUUUUGUGCUACUAUAUGUUCAAGGGACAACAAAACCUUUUACUUGUCAGGUUCUUGGCUUACUGAAUUGUAUGGGUUAUGUGUCCUACAUAGAACUAGAGUUGAGUGGAUACCGGUGAACACUACUGUUAUGAACAUUACUUGAUUGCCUUUAGUUUCUGCCUUCCUUGAGGAGCGCAAGGACUAAGGACCACCCAAGUUGCUCUGCAUGUGAAAGUUAUUGAAGAUGUAUGAGGUGAACAUUCCUGUGCCGCCGAUCUAUCAUGAGGCUGAAAUUCAGAUGUGCCAUGGUGAUCAAGCUAAACCCUUAUUUCGGGUGGUCUUUGGGCGCUGUUUCCCUGCUGAACGAUCUUUUAAGCUUCAGCCAUCUUUAGUAAGAGGUGGUUGCUACUCUUAUGUUAUUAUGCUAGCAUUGCUUUAUUCUCUUGCCCAUAGCAAAGCCACAUGCCAGCUGGAGAGAUUGUGUGAUCUUCCUUCGCCAGGUGCUCAACAAGUUGCCUGGUAUGGUUAUUGUGGCUUUGCUAAUUAUGCUUCUUCCAAAUCAAGGUGCAAAUCUAGCAAUAUUCUCUUCACGUACCGAGUCACAUCCCAGCUGGAGGGAUACUGUUCUUUUAGAAGUUUUGCGUGAUCUUCCUUCUUCAGGGGUCAAUUACUGAAGAAGCAUUAAGGUGCAAAUCUUGCUUUGCAAUCUGCUAACAGUUAAGGGUUGUCAAUUGGUUUGGUGGAUUCGCUAGUUGGGCUUCUUACUGAAGAAGCAUUAAGGUGCAAAUCUUGCUUUGCAAUCUGCUAACAGUUAAGGGUUGUCAAUUGGUUUGGUGGUACACAGAUUUUCCAUUCUUUGGACGCCCCUUUGGCCCCCUUGCAGCUGCUGACUUCAUUUAUGAUGGUUGGUGGGCCUUUCCGUUUGAAAUUCAACUAGGCAUCAAAGUAUUAUUUGGAACCCAUCGUCUAUAUCUUUGUUCCUCGCCGGGGAUCUGAAGCGUAGGAUCAAAUUUUUCUGUUCGGUUGCAUGAUUGCAGAUGAAUGUUGGCUUGUAGUUGGCCAAUCAGCUUAGUUUUUGGUGGCAUGAUAAACCACCGAAGUACUGAGUUGCUUGUUUUAGUUUUUCUCUAUUCCAAUGUGGUAAGUGUUGCAUUGGUUGACGUUCUGUUGUUUUAGUGGUUUUUUUUGCCAUAAUUAGGAAAUAUUUACUUUAUAUACAAUGUGGUUUAUAUCUGUGUUUUGCGGUUGAAGAGGUUUUCAGUUAGUGAGAACCUGAACGAAAAUGUCGCCGGCCGAACUUUGGAUGAUUGGAGGAUUCAACGGUGCUGUUCACUUUUGCUCCAUGCAUCGACGGCCUGAUGCCCUGCAUCUUCUGCAAAUUGUCCAUAACUCGUCCGCUGUGUAGUUAGGUUGAACGUGGUGCGAGAUGGUUUAGGCAUGUAGCGAUGCGUAGGUCCGAACUUUUUUAAAGCAGUACAAAAAGACCACGGACUGAAAUGCUUCUGGGCUUUUUUUACCCUGUGGGCCGAAUUAACGCUCAUCUGGUCUCCCAGAGGCCAGUGUUACAAUUAGAUUAUAACUGCCUUACGAACACGCACCUAUUCAUUAAACAGGCACCUCGUACAGGCGUCUCUUGUAAAUCCCCGACCAGGCGUCUCUUGUAAAUCCCCGACCAGACGGAAUCCGUAUAUAAAUGCCUCAACCAUCAAUGAAGGCAUUUGUUCGACUGGUUCGCGGGGUCGCCGCCUCUUCGUCGCUGGCCACCGCAGCAAUGGUGUUGGUGGACUCUGCCGCUUCCGGUGUGAAGGUUGGAAUCAGCGCCGCCAGGAUCUUCGUCGCCGCCACGGAAUGGUGCGGGGCCCUUGAACCAACCCGCGCAGCCAUUGGCGCCUCUGCAGCCCAAAGUGCCCGCCUGGCUUCUCGCCGGUUCGGCCGCACCAAGGCUCGAGGCCGGCUUUGGUGGCUUCGCCGCCGCGGUUCUGGUGAUUGGUGUUGAAAAGGAACGCGAGAGAGGGAGACAAAGAAGUAAAAGUGAAUAGUUAUUCUCAUUGAUGAUGUCGUUUACACAUGUAUAUAGCCCUUUGAAGGGAUGCGACUGAAGGGAUGUGAGGCAACCACCUCGGUUAGGAAAAG
rnacentral:rRNA from 1 species